AUGGGGGAGAAUGCAGUGGCGGCAGCUAGGUGCCCAAUGCAAGUACCCUGCUACCAUCUUCAACAGCAGCAACAGGAACAACAAUCGGCGGAGAAUGCAGCGACGCCAGUUGGAUACUCGAUGAAGGUACAAAUUAAUACCAGAGAAUGCAGCGGCGGCAGCUGGGUACCCAAUGCAGGUACCCUACUACUAUCUACUUCAGCAGCAGGAACAGUAUUGACGGAGAAUGUAGCAGCGGCGGCGGCAGCUGCGUACCGACUGCCGGUACCCUACUACCAACUCCUUCAGCAGCAGCAGAUGGAGGCGUUUUGGGCGUUACAACUCAAGGAAAUCAAGGAGAUGAACGAUUUCAAGAACAACAAAUUUCCGCUUGCUCGUAUCAACAGAUGAUGAUAUAUAACGAGGGUGUAUCCAAGGUCACCGCGGAAGAACCAAUGUUGUUUGCUAAAGAAUGUGAAAUGUUCAUGCAGGAACUUACUUUCCGCUCCUGGUUUAGCACGGAGGAGAACAAAAGACGGAUGUUGCAGUAGAAGGAUAUCACCAAGGCUAUUGAGCUGAUUGAAAUUUUUGAUUUCCUAGUUGACAUUGUUCUUAAGGAUGAGAUCAGGGAAGAGGGUACUGGUUUUGGGCCCAGCAUGCUUGGCUCCACAUUAAGUGGUGUUCAGAACUUCUAUCCGCCCAUAGGACAGACUGUUGCUCCAUCUGAGGCGAUGAUUAGAAGGAUUGGAACAAGUGGUGUUCAAAACUUCUAUCCACCCAUGGGGCAGACUGCUCCAUCUGAAGUGAUGAUUCGAAGGACCAUUAUGCCUAGGGUUUUUCCAUUUGUCUACAUCCAGCGUCAGGCGUGGCAGGCUGCUAAGGAUAAUACCAGUGCUAGCAGAGGGAGGAGUGGACAGUGGCAUAUCAAUGCUAGCAGAGGGAGCAGUGGACGGUGGCAAGCUGCUGAGGAUAAUAUCAAUGCUAGCGGAGGGAACAGUGGACGGUGGCAGGAUGCUGAGGAUAAUAUCAAUGCCAGCGGAGGGAGCAGUGCACAGCAUAACGUCGAUGGUCAAAGGUAUAAAGUUGUUGGGGACUACUGGGGAUUGCUAAUGUCUAAGAGCUGCUUUAAUCCGUGAGAUUGUGGUACAUUUAGUUAAUAUUUUCUCUUGUUAUGAUUUGGGAAAGUGAUGCGUUCUGGAAAUUCGAGCAAUGCACUGGAGCAGUGGUUUGGACAUGCUACUUCAUCUACCAAUCUUACUAUUGCUCUCCUACGGUGGUUCUUAGCCAGGUGCAAAUUUCUUGCUAUAAUGGAACCUUUCAAUGGAAUAACUCUGCUCCCAUUAUGCUCAUACCUUGUCAGCUUCUAGGAAAGGAGGUAUGGGUUACCCAAUUUGCGGUCUUCCAGUGAGGUGGUCUAGCUUGCCCGUUUGGAAGGGGAGAUUCAAUCAUGUGAUUAUCUGCUGACGAUCAUAUGGUACCCUACUACCAUCUCCAGCAGCAACAGGAACAUCAAUUGCGGAGAAUGUAGUUGUGUCAUGGUAUGAAUGUGAGUACCCUAUUACCAUCUUCAGCGGCAACAACAAAUGAACUAAAAUUAUUUAUAAAAUUAUAUAUUACAUGAUUUGUCAUACACGUGCGUAGCUCGUGCCAAAAAACUAGUUUUAAAUAACAUAUACGUGAAUAUAUUUUUUCUAAUUAAAAUAAAUUUUUUCUCCAAUAUAGUUCUACACAACCCAAUAUAUAUAUAUAUAU